AUGUAACUGAUCUCAUCUAGUGAUAGAACUAAGGCUCUAGUCAUCGGAGAACUAAGACUGUAGCAUUAGGAUUGGACUAGGAUAUACGCGACUGUCCCAACGCUAGAGAUGGAGUCAACAGUGACGUUCGUUGAUCGAUGAAGCUGCUUUCUGCGGUGAUCUAGACUUGGGAGUAUGUUCGACUGGUUGAGCUGUGUAUCCCUGUAUAUUCUACCUGACCGCCUUAUCUUUCUCUACUUUUUGUUCGUUCUUUAACCUAAAAACUCCUUACGAAACUCCGCUUUCUGAGUUUUGUUCUGAUGAUCCUUUCCAGCCAUCCAGCACUAGCCAUGAGUAUCCACAACCACAUGUGAUCAACGACAGAGCUCAGAAAUACGUUUUGCAUUUUGAAGAUACCGGACGUCUUGUGAUGUUUUAGAGAUUAGAGUGCUUUUCCGUCUCUUUUGUUAGUAUUUUUCUUUAGAGGUAGGACUUUAUUGUUUUUCUUGUUAGUUUGAGUACCAAACUAGGGGUUAUCUAAAUAGGCCAUGACUAAUAUAUGUAUAUGUCGACUAUGUACUACUUAACUGGGAUAAUUGUAUCUGGGUUGGUAUGACUGUUGUAGUGUCUCUUCUAACGUUUAUAUGAAAGCCCUCACGGCAUUGUGGGAUACAUCUGUUUACACACGCACAAAAAAAGUAUCAAAUGAAUCUUUGAAAAGUUGCAACAUUGAACA